AUUGAACGCUGGCGGCAGGCCUAACACAUGUAAGUCGAGCGCGAAAGGUCUUCGGAUUGAGUAGAGCGGCGGACGGGUGAGUAACGCGUAGGAAUCUACCUAGUAGUGGGGGACAACCUGUGGAAACGCAGGCUAAUACCGCAUACGCCCUACGGGGGAAAGCGGGGGAUCUUCGGACCUCGUGCUAUUAGAUGAGCCUGCGUAAGAUUAGCUAGUUGGUGAGGUAAAGGCUCACCAAGGCGACGAUCUUUAGCUGGUCUGAGAGGAUGAUCAGUCACACUGGAACUGAGACACGGUCCAGACUCCUACGGGAGGCAGCAGUGGGGAAUAUUGCACAAUGGGGGAAACCCUGAUGCAGCCAUGCCGCGUGUGUGAAGAAGGCUCUAGGGUCGUAAAGCACUUUCAGCGGGGAGGAAAGGUUGUAAUUUAAUAGAUUGCAGCUGUGACGUUACCCGCAGAAGAAGCACCGGCUAACUCCGUGCCAGCAGCCGCGGUAAUACGGAGGGUGCAAGCGUUAAUCGGAAUUACUGGGCGUAAAGCGCGCGUAGGCGGAUGCUUAAGUCGGAUGUGAAAGCCCCGGGCUCAACCUGGGAACUGCAU
rnacentral:rRNA from 1 species